UUCUUAUCAAGAGAAGUCGAGGGACUGGCCCGAUGAAACUUCAGCAACCAACAUUAAGUCAGGUGCUAAAUCCAGUGGCGAAUGCCAGAAGAUGAGAA
rfam:Solibacillus silvestris StLB046 DNA, complete genome.